ACUGUCUGGCACAGUCACAGCAUUUACCUUACGGUAAUCUGUGCAGAAUCUAAAUGUGCCAUCGGGUUUGGGAACAAGUAGGCACGGAGAACUCCAGGGACUGCAGCUGGACUUGGCUAAAUCAUGUUCCAGCAAAUACUCUACCUCUUGACGCAUUACAGAUCUUUUCAUUGAGUUUACGCGGUAACCGGAGAUGGCGCCAGAUCCACGGCUAGCGCAACAGAAGAGACAACGGGCCCUGCAGUCUGUUCCACAGCACCGGCCGUUGGCGUUGACGACUCUCUGGGACCAAAGAAACGAGCAGACAAAGAUGAUCCUGGGACAGGUAACAACACAAGCACUUCGUCACCAGGUUGAAAUGAUCGCGCUACCGCUUGCUUAUCAUAUUUACUCUUCAUGUCUUUCUGAACAUUGGCAAGUGAUUCUCUAGCCAGCGACCAAGCAGUAUGUAGACGAUCUCGAAACUGGCUCACAUAAUCCAGUACACUAGUAUUUGAAUUCGAAUUGGGCGCUAAAAUCCGUUCUUUAAGAACCUUCAACGGACCUCUAACUUGGUGUCCGAACACAAGUUCGGCUGGGCUAAAACCAAGAGAUUCUUGAACGGUUUCUCUGACAGCAAAUAAAACUAAGGGAACCCCCUCAUCCCAUUCUUUAGCAGUGUCCUGGCAAUAUUUCCUAAGCAUUGACUUAAGGGUUUGGUGAAAGCGCUCAAGUGCGCCCUGGCUCUGCGGGUGGUACGCACUUGAGACUCGGUGAGAAAUUGCCAGUGAUUCAAGUACUUGUUUAAAAAGUUUCGAUAAAAAAUUCGUACCUUGAUCAGUUUGCACUAUUUUU